rnacentral:rRNA from 1 species
GGAUCUGCCUACAGGACUGGGACAACAGCUGGAAACGGCUGCUAAAACCGGAUGUGCCGAGAGGUGAAAUAUUUAUAGCCUGUAGAUGAGCUCGCGUCUGAUUAGCUAGUUGGUGAGGUAAGGGCUCACCAAGGCGACGAUCAGUAGCUGGUCUGAGAGGACGAUCAGCCACACUGGGACUGAGACACGGCCCAGACUCCUACGGGAGGCAGCAGUGGGGAAUUUUCCGCAAUGGGCGAAAGCCUGACGGAGCAAUACCGCGUGAGGGAGGAAGGUCUGUGGAUUGUAAACCUCUUUUGAUAGGGAAGAAGUUCUGACGGUACCUAUCGAAUCAGCAUCGGCUAACUCCGUGCCAGCAGCCGCGGUAAUACGGAGGAUGCAAGCGUUAUCCGGAUUUAUUGGGCGUAAAGCGUCCGUAGGUGGUUAUUCAAGUCUAUUGUCAAAGCCUGGGGCUUAACCCUGGAGAGGCGGUGGAAACUGAAUAACUAGAGUGCGGUAGGGGCAGAGGGAAUUCCCAGUGUAGCGGUGAAAUGCGUAGAUAUUGGGAAGAACACCGGUGGCGAAAGCGCUCUGCUGGGCCUGCACUGACACUGAGGGACGAAAGCUAGGGGAGCG